GACGGGGACCCGCACAAGCGGUGGAUGAUGUGGAUUAAUUCGAUGCAACGCGAAGAACCUUACUACCCUUGACAUGUCCGGAACUUGCCAGAGAUGGCUUGGUGCCCGAAAGGGAAUCGGAACACAGGUGCUGCAUGGCUGUCGUCAGCUCGUGUCGUGAGAUGUUGGGUUAAGUCCCGCAACGAGCGCAACCCUUAUCAUUAGUUGCUACGCAAGGGCACUCUAAUGAGACUGCCGGUGACAAACCGGAGGAAGGUGGGGAUGACGUCAAGUCCUCAUGGCCCUUAUGGGUAGGGCUUCACACGUCAUACAAUGGUCGGUACAGAGGGUUGCCAAGCCGCGAGGCGGAGCCAAUCCCACAAAGCCGAUCGUAGUCCGGAUUGUUCUCUGCAACUCGAGAGCAUGAAGUCGGAAUCGCUAGUAAUCGCAGGUCAGCAUACUGCGGUGAAUACGUUCCCGGGUCUU
rnacentral:rRNA from 1 species